rnacentral:rRNA from 1 species
AGCUCCAGUAGCGUAUAUUAAAGCUGUUGCAGUUAAAAAGCUCGUAGUUGGAUCUUGGGCCCAGGCCUGCGGUCCGCCGUGAGGCGAGUACUGCAGUCCUGGCCUUCCUCUCGGCUUUCGCCCGGUGCCCUUAACCGAGUGCCAGGAGAGGCCGGAACGUUUACUUUGAAAAAAUUGGAGUGUUCAAAGCAGGCCUCGCGCCUGAACAGCAGAGCAUGGAAUAAUGGAAUAGGACCUCGGUUCUAUUGCGUUGGUUUUCGGAACUCGAGGUAAUGAUUAAGAGGGACUGACGGGGGCAUUCGUAUUGCGGUGUGAGAGGUGAAAUUCUUGGAUCGCCGCAAGACGACCGACUGCGAAAGCAUUUGCCAAGAAUGUUUUCAUUA